rnacentral:rRNA from 1 species
UACGAAGGGGGCUAGCGUUGUUCGGAUUUACUGGGCGUAAAGCGCACGUAGGCGGAUCGUUAAGUCGGGGGUGAAAUCCUGGAGCUCAACUCCAGAACUGCCUUCGAUACUGGCGAUCUUGAGUCCGGAAGAGGUGAGUGGAACUCCUAGUGUAGAGGUGGAAUUCGUAGAUAUUAGGAAGAACACCAGUGGCGAAAGCGACUUCCUGGACCAAUACUGACGCUCAUGUGCGAAAGCGUGGGGAGCAAACAGG